AGUGGGGAAUUUUCCGCAAUGGGCGAAAGCCUGACGGAGCAAUACCGCGUGAGGGAGGAAGGCUCUUGGGUUGUAAACCUCUUUUCUCAGGGAAGAACAAAAUGACGGUACCUGAGGAAUCAGCAUCGGCUAACUCCGUGCCAGCAGCCGCGGUAAUACGGAGGAUGCAAGCGUUAUCCGGAAUGAUUGGGCGUAAAGCGUCCGCAGGUGGCUGUGUAAGUCUGCUGUCAAAGAGCGAAGCUCAACUUCGUAAAGGCAGUGGAAACUACACGGCUAGAGUGCGUUCGGGGCAGAGGGAAUUCCUGGUGUAGCGGUGAAAUGCGUAGAGAUCAGGAAGAACACCGGUGGCGAAGGCGCUCUGCUAGGCCGCAACUGACACUGAGGGACGAAAGCUAGGGGAGCGAAUGGGAUUAGAUACCCCAGUAGUCCUAGCUGUAAACGAUGGAUACUAGGCGUGGCUUGUAUCGAC
rnacentral:rRNA from 1 species